GACCAAUCGUGCUAAACGGCAACGUUGGAGCUGUUUGUUUAGCUGCUCCUGCCACAGGUGUUUAGUGUCAUAUUUUUAGGUUAUCUUUUUGCGUUUCUUUGUUGAUUAAUCUGCGAAGAUAACAGACUACUCACUCACGGGGAAGAUGGUAGCUAUUUAUUGUAGUGUGGACGGCUGUUGGAAAAGUUCUGCUUCAAAGCACCAGUUUCCAAAUCCAGUUAAAAAUAAGGAAUUAUGUGACGAAUGGAUUUGUUUGACUGGGAACAAGCGUCUUCUUGAGAUGACCACAGAAAAGAUAUUUUCGAACUGUCGUGUUUGCUCUCUCCAUUUUAAAAGUGAAGAUUUUGGACCAAACAGAAGGUUAAAACGUGGUGUUAAACCAUCUCAAAAUUUGCCAUUGCCCUUACAAAUUAACCAAUUGAGUGAUAAUCCAUCUACUUCAUAAUAACCAAUUGCUUACCAUGCAAAGUUAUGUGGCUCCUCCCAUUAUUGAGCCAUUCUCAUUGUGUAGCAGUGUUACUAGUCCACCUUCUGCUAUGUAAAAAGUAGUCAGAGCCAAGAACGUUUAACCUGGACCCAAUUUAAAACUUAUUUUGCAAAAUUCCACAAAAAGGGCAUCGACAUAUAAAUCUAAGGGCCACCGAUGUUACUGCCUUAAGUUAACUGUUAAAGUUUAUUAUUAAAUUGGUUAACGUCAUCUCAUUCAGUUGGAGCAAAUUGUGCAGAAGAUAACUCCAAAUUUGUUCUAUCACUUCAAACACUGGUUUCCCAGUAACCCACAAAGCUAGAGAUGUAUAGUAGGAGUGUACGGUUAAAGCACUUCAUUUGAAUUGUACGAAGCGAAAUAAACACGGUGAUGAUUAAUCUCCACUAUGUUUACUUUAUUAUGUUGCACAUAAUUGCAAGAAAGAUAGACUUCUACAUAUACUUAUAUUUGUGGGUUUAAUAUGUAUGUUUUGUCGAUGUACAAAUACAAUUUACUUACAUAGACCUAAAAAACUAUGCUCUUUUAGGGUUUGCCAGAAGAUGAAAACGAGUUACUAAAGCAGAUCUACACGAUGGUAUUAACCAAUGUUAAACUUUAGGCAAAAUCUGUUGAAGCUGGUGCACUGAAAUAUGUGUCAGGAUAUUUAGCUAAAAAAAUCGACAAACAAGCAUGUGGUUGUCACAAUUUGUUUUUGAUACACCAACUAAGGAGCGCAGGGACUUUAGGAAUUUAAAAUGUCAUUGUACGAAAAUAUUAAGAUAUGUAAGUAAAACCGUUUUUAACAAAGUGUGUUUAGAGUUAUCAAUAAUUAAAUAUAUUUGUCUCUAAUGUGGAAACUUUGCAAAGCAGAAUUUCUUUUACUGACUGUUCCCAUGAUUUAUAAUAAUAAAGACAUACAUUUUUAGUUACUUUAUAAAACUGAAUUUAUUUAGUUUUAUCAAAUUUUUAUAAAAUUUAUUAAAUAGUUAAACAA
rnacentral:lncRNA from 1 species